GACGAACGCUGGCGGCGUGCUUAACACAUGCAAGUCAAGGAGAACGGAUUCUUCGGGAUACUAGUAWACUGGCGAAYGGGUGAGURACACGUARGUMAUCUACCCUGGARAUUGGGAUAACCUCKGGAAACCGGAGCUAAUACCRAMUAAUGCAGCGGAUCCUUCGGGAUAUGUUGUUAAAGCGGGCUUUUGCUCGCACUUURKGAUGAGCCUGCGUCCGAUUAGCUUGUUGGUGGGGUAAUGGCCWACCAAGGCGAUGAUCGKKAKCUGGUCUGAGAGGAUGAUCARCCACACUGGGAUUGAGAUACKKCCCAGACUCCUACGGGAGGCAGCAGUGGGGAAUUUUGCGCAAUGGGCGAAAGCCUGACSCAKCAACGCCGCGUGAUCGAUGAAGCUUUUCGGAGUGWAAMGAUCUGUCSUGAGGGAASAAUAACUUGGAUGCMMAUAGUUUUCAAGUCUGACGGUACCUUACAAGAAAGCACCGGCUAACUUCGUGCCAGCAGCCGCGGUAAUACGAGGGGUGCUAGCGUUGUCCGGAAUCAUUGGGCGUAAAGGGUCCGUAGGUGUCUUUGCAAGUCGUUUGUUACAUCCACCGGCUCAACCGGUGGCCUGCAAUCGAAACUGCAAGGAUAGAGUUCGAGAGAGGAAAGUGGAAUUCCUGGUGUAGCGGUGACAUGCGUAGAUAUCAGGAGGAACACCAAUGGCGAAGGCAGCUUUCUGGCUCGAUACUGACACUGAGGGACGAAAGCGUGGGUAGCGAACAGGAUUAGAUACCCUGGUAGUCCACGCCGUAAACGAUGAGUACUUGAUGUCGGAGGAUUCGACCCCNU
rnacentral:rRNA from 1 species